AGAGUUUGAUCAUGGCUCAGAACGAACGCUGGCGGCGUGGAUUAGGCAUGCAAGUCGAACGAGGAUAUAUCCUUCGGGAUAUAAGCCGAGUGGCAUAAGGGUGAGCAAUGCAUAGAUUACCUACCUUUAGGAUAAGGACAACUUUGUGAAAACGGAGCUAAUACUUAAUAAUACAAAAGAAAAUAAUUUCUUUUGUCAAAGGGAGGGUAGCAAUACCUUUCGCCUGGAGAGGGGUUUAUGUCCUAUCAGCUUGUUGGUGGGGUAAUAGCCUACCAAGGCAAAGACGGGUAGCCGGUUUAAGAGGAUGGUCGGCCACACUGGGACUGAGACACUGCCCAGACUUCUACGGAAGGCUGCAGUCGAGAAUCUUUCGCAAUGCCCGAAAGGGUGACGAAGCGACGCCGCGUGGGUGAAGAAGGCCUUCGGGUUGUAAAACCCUGUCAGGAGUUAUGAAAUGUAAGUACGCUAAUAUCGUGCUUAUUUGACAAAGGCUCCAAAGGAAGUCACGGCUAACUCUGUGCCAGCAGCCGCGGUAAUACAGAGGUGGCGAGCGUUGUUCGGAAUUAUUGGGCGUAAAGAGCACGUAGGUGGGUUUGCAAGUCAGAUGUGAAAGCCUCCUGUUCAACGGGAGAAUUGCAUCUGAAACUGCUAAUCUUGAGUAUAGGAGGGGAGAAUGGAACUUCUGGUGGAGCGGUGAAAUGCGUAGAUAUCAGAAGGAACGCCGGCGGCGAAAGCGAUUCUCUGGCCUAUUACUGACACUCAGUGUGCGAAAGCUAGGGGAGCAAACGGGAUUAGAUACCCCGGUAGUCCUAGCUGUAAACGAUGGGCACUAAGUAGAGGGAAUUACCUAUGUUCUCUCUGCCGUAGCUAACGCAUUAAGUGCCCCGCCUGGGGAGUACGGCCGCAAGGCUAAAACUCAAAAGAAUUGACGGGGGCUCGCACAAGCGGUGGAGCAUGUGGCUUAAUUCGAUGCAACGCGAAAAACCUUACCGGGGCUUGACAUGAUAGAAGUAGGAACCUGAAAGGGGGACGAACGGUAUCCAGUCCGUAGCUGUUACAGGUGUUGCAUGGCUGUCGCCAGCUCGUGUCGUGAGACGUUGGGUUAAGUCCCCUAACGAGCGAAACCCUUGUUUUUAGUUACCAGCGGGUUAUGCCGGGUACUCUAGAAAGACUGCCGUCGUCAAGACGGAGGAAGGUGGGGAUGACGUCAAGUCAUCAUGGCCCUUAUGCCCCGGGCUGCACACGUGCUACAAUGGUCGGUACAAACGGAAGCGAAGCCGAGAGGUGAAGCGAAUCCUAAAAAGCCGAUCUCAGUUCGGAUUGGAGGCUGAAAUUCGCCUCCAUGAAGUUGGAAUCGCUAGUAAUCGCGGAUCAGCAAUGUCGCGGUGAAUAUGUUCCCGAGCCUUGUACACACCGCCCGUCAAGCCACCCAAGCAGGAUGCACCCGAAAACAUUAUAUCUAACCAGGGCAACCUGGAGGAAGAUGUUGAAGGAGUGUUUUGUGAGGAGGACUAAGUCGUAACAAGGUAA
rnacentral:rRNA from 1 species